GUAGGAGGCGAGCGUUGUCCGGAAUCAUUGGGCGUAAAGAGCGCGCAGGCGGCUUGGCAAGUCGGGUGUGAAAUCCCGGGGCUCAACCCCGUGACUGCAUCCGAUACUGUCGGGCUAGAGGUAGGUAGGGGAGAUCGGAAUUCCUGGUGUAGCGGUGAAAUGCGCAGAUAUCAGGAGGAACACCGGUGGCGAAGGCGGAUCUCUGGGCCUUACCUGACGCUCAGGCGCGAAAGCUAGGGGAGCGAACAGGAUUAGAUACCCUGGUAGUCCUAGCCGUAAACGUUGGGUGCUAGGUGUGGGCGGAUAUCAACCCCGUCCGUGCCGAAGCUAACGCAUUAAGCACCCCGCCUGGGGAGUACGGCCGCAAGGCUA
rnacentral:rRNA from 1 species